rnacentral:lncRNA from 1 species
GGCCUCUUUGGUUUGCAGGGCUAAAGCUGUGAUUAUCUGUGGGCUGGCAAACCAGAAAGCUUUCUCUUUGUCUCCAGUUAAUGGGCAGCUGAGCAACAAUUUGAUUAGCGUAAUAGCUGACAAUACUUCUUUAGCCUUCUGUUGCCAAGUGUUCCUCAUUUCAAGUCCCUGCAGCACCAGCCUCAUUAUGGCAUAAAAUUCUUCAGCAGAGCAGUUUCCCAGUAGCUGCACAACCACCUC